UCAAGAUCGAACUCUCCCACGCGGAGGUAAGCGCCGUGAUAUCCGUGAUUUGGGGAGGAGUGGUCCAGAUAUGCGGACCGAGUGGCUGUGCGUGAGGGCAAGAUGGAGGCUAAAGGCUGGCGUGGAGGAGAUAAUUGAUGUUGUUGUUGCUGCACGUAUUUUAAAUGCAACACUCGUUGUUCCCAAAUUGGACCAAACCUCCUUCU